GGCGGGGUAGCCAAGUGGUAAGGCAGGAGUCUGCAAAACUCCUAUGCGUCGGUUCAAUUCCGACCCCCGCCUCCA
rnacentral:tRNA from 2 species